AUGGCUCAGAUUGAACGCUAGCGGGAUGCCUUACACAUGCAAGUCGAACGGCAGCACGGACUUCGGUCUGGUGGCGAGUGGCGAACGGGUGAGUAAUGUAUCGGAACGUGCCUAGUAGCGGGGGAUAACUACGCGAAAGCGUAGCUAAUACCGCAUACGCCCUACGGGGGAAAGCAGGGGAUCGCAAGACCUUGCACUAUUAGAGCGGCCGAUAUCGGAUUAGCUAGUUGGUGGGGUAACGGCUCACCAAGGCGACGAUCCGUAGCUGGUUUGAGAGGACGACCAGCCACACUGGGACUGAGACACGGCCCAGACUCCUACGGGAGGCAGCAGUGGGGAAUUUUGGACAAUGGGGGAAACCCUGAUCCAGCCAUCCCGCGUGUGCGAUGAAGGCCUUCGGGUUGUAAAGCACUUUUGGCAGGAAAGAAACGUCAUGGGUUAAUACCCCGUGAAACUGACGGUACCUGCAGAAUAAGCACCGGCUAACUACGUGCCAGCAGCCGCGGUAAUACGUAGGGUGCAAGCGUUAAUCGGAAUUACUGGGCGUAAAGCGUGCGCAGGCGGUUCGGAAAGAAAGAUGUGAAAUCCCAGAGCUUAACUUUGGAACUGCAUUUUUAACUACCGAGCUAGAGUGUGUCAGAGGGAGGUGGAAUUCCGCGUGUAGCAGUGAAAUGCGUAGAUAUGCGGAGGAACACCGAUGGCGAAGGCAGCCUCCUGGGAUAACACUGACG
rnacentral:rRNA from 1 species